rnacentral:siRNA from 1 species
CUGAUGACUCGCGCUUACUA